AAAAGAGACAGAGAAGUAGAUGCAAUGAGAGUAACUGAAGUACAUCAACGAAAUUAUCUUGAGGAAUGGCAGUAGUAAAAAGGUAUGUGUUUAAGACAGAGCUUUCCAGACUUUUCAAGUUGGCGACACACUUUUUGGACAUGCAUCAUUUCGUGACACUGUAAUUCAGUCUUACUAGCAAACCAAAGGUUAAACUAACCCGUUCCAGCCCCGGGAGGAGCGUGGGGCGCAUUCGCACGACACACUUGCACACUGCAGCUGACACACUAAUGUGUCACGACACACAGUGUGGAAAGCUCUGGUUUAAGCGCACCUUAUAUGCCAGACCUGAAGGGUCAAAUGCAUGUAAACUGGUGAAUCACCACCAAGAAGACCUUGCCUUGUGUAGUCACCAAAUCAUUGAUAGGCAUGCAAGCCGGAUUUCAGAUGCAGAUCUUAAAGGGUAUGGGCAGGGCCAUGCAAUGUAGGUGGGCCUUAUGGUAAUCUGGUAGCAUAACAUUUAGAUGCUAUCCCAUCACCAGCAUUGUAUUAAGCUUCAAACGCCAGUGCUUCCGUAUGUGGAUCAUGGAGAGGUGCCUUCUUCUCUUCCACCUCAGGCAGCAAAAGAUCUUGGGCCUGCUCUGAAAUCACAUAUCACGCAAGUGCCCUGGGAAAAAACGUUUUUUAUUGUGAGAGAAUGGUGGCUAUUUUGGUUGCUGUGAUCUUGCACAAUAUUGCAGUGAGAUGCACCCCCCAGUGCUUUUUUUGGCGGACGACGCAAAUUCAGGGCAACUAAAAUGGCCACCGUGCUGUCGUGAUUAAAACAAAACAAAACGGGAAGAUGGCACCUGGGAAGGUGGCAUCCUGGAUUUGGGCUUCAAAGCAUUGGAGAGUAUGAGAUCAAGGCCCUCUAGUUGAAGCAGAAUCUCUAUAAGAUGUUCGCUGCAUUGUAAUGUUAUUGUUCUUGAUAAACUUGUGUUCCAGGGGAGGGUGAAGCAUUUGUGGCAGCCACAGGUUCAAGCCUGAGGCUCUGGGUGCUGCUAUGAGCAUGUGCCACAACAUCUGUUGGUGGCAGGAAAGCUCCCCGUGCCCCUGGGUGCUGUAAUCCAUGCCUUGGUCUUAAGGCUAAUGGCUGCCGAGUGCUAUUUGCACUGACCCCAUUCUGGUAAAUUUGGGAAGGGUUGGAAUUCACUGUGAGCCUAACCCCAAGAUUCAAAGUGAGGGUGGGGUGUUGUUCAUAUCUGUAAAAUUUGGUGUCCUUCUGCCCCAACUUCUCGUCCAGCGGAUGCUGAGUCCAAGCUGCAAGGAUCAACAGUGUCUUUUUGCUCUUACUUGGGUCACUUCCUGUUUCCUCCUCCAGCCUUGAUAGGCUGGUUAAGGAAGAUGAGUGUCCAUCGGCAUCUUCUCUCUUUGUCCAUCAGAAAUGAUGAAAACCACCUGCCCCAGGAGGCCUCCCAGUAGCUUUUAGGAAUAGGUGGACUAGGUGAUUAUUAUUGCUUUUAACUAUGAUCUCAUUAUAUUUUGGCCUGUGUUUUAGUUCUUGUAUCUGCAAACCUUUAUCAGACUUUAACUUUGCAAUCAAUCCCAGUUUGCCUAUCAAGAAAAUCCCAUUUUAGUGCUCUGUGCAGCCUGAUCUUCCUUUUCUGUUGCUGUUCAAACGUGAGCUUUGGCUGACACCUAGUGGUCAUGAAAACUCAUUGUCCCAGUAUCUCAGAUAUUACACCAGUGUGAUAAGAGAAGCUCAGUUGGUAGAGGCCCUGAGACUCUUAAUCUCAGGGUCAUGGUCUGAGACCCACAUUUUAGGGGGUUGGACUAGAUGAUCCUUGUGGUCCCUUCCAACUCUGCCAGUCUAUGGCUCCAUAAGGAGUUCAUAACUUUGACACAUUUCCCCUUUCUCCUGAAACUACAUGCCACCUCUGCAACAUGCCACUCCCCACAGCUGCUGAUGAGUCAGGAAAACCUUUUGCAGAGUAUCUCCCCAAGAAACGGAUCAGGAGUGAGGAGUGAAUCAGCAGGUUUCAGUUUUGCUCAAGUUCUCAUUCUUUCCAUCCGAAAUUCAGUUCUUCAAAAUGUUGAAGGAAUUUGCACACACGCGGGGGGGGGGGGAGGGAGGGAGAGAGGGGGGAAGAAACCCACGUGGAAAUUCAUCAGAUUUUCAUUUGCUGCCCCCUGACAAGCAUUCACUGUCAGCCCAAUCUACUUCACAGGGCUGCAAGGUUAACUGGGCAGCAUAUGCCAUCUUGAAUUCCUUGGAGCAAAGGUGGAAUAAAAUGUAAACACAAUAAACAAGCUAAAUGAGCAAUGACCCAAAAGAAGUAUACUUAAUGCUAUGGUUGCCCUGGGAAUGCAAAGCAGAAGGAGAGCAUCCUCUGGCCUCUUCCCUUGGCUAGAGCAAGUGUUGGGAACCUUCAGCUCCAGCAGCAAGGCCAAUGACCAAAGCUGAUGGGGGUUGUGAUUUAGUAACAUCUGGAGAGCCAGUUUCCCAACUCAGGUUUGCUGAGUAUUUGCACUCCCUGUCUCUCACCAAGACGAUACAAGCAAGGGAAACUCCCCUGUCUCAAGCAGAGGAGUAUCCGUGAGGAGCUGCUUGUUCCUCUUCUGGACUUGGAGCAGUGGCUCUAUUUUGCUCCAACGUCCUUGGACUCCAGAACUGGAAGGAAGAGCAUUUGAACAUCUCCCACUGUCAUCCAGAGGACCAAGGCCUGUUGUGCAGGGUGGGGAUUGUUGCUUCAUUGCAUUAUUGAAAUCUGUUGUAAGCAGCUUUGAGGAUCAAAAAAGUGGGAUAUACAGUGGUACCUCGGGUUACAUAUGCUUCAGGUUACAGACUCUGCUAACCCAGAAAUCGUACCUCGGGUUAAGAACUUUGCUUCAGGAUGAGAACAGAAAUCAGGCUCUGGUGGCACGGUGGCAGCGGGAAGCCCCAUUAGCUAAUGUGGUGCUUCACGUUAAGACCAGUUUCAGGUUAAGAACGGACCUCCAGAACGAAUUAAGUACUUAACCUGAGGUACCACUGUAGAUCUUCUUUUUUAAAAGCAUACUAAACAGCAAUGCAAAAUAUGUUGCUAGUUCAAAAGGCAUACACGGACUUCUCUUAGGCAAGAGCUCCACCGUCCACCUUAGUCAGCAGUUAAAACCAAACCCACAAGCAAUCAUUUACAUGUUUUUAAUAAUCCUUUUCAUAGUUUAGAACUCAUCUGAAGACAAUGGGCAGAGCCUCCUUCCACUGUGUGUGUGUGUAUAUUCAGUCAAGUCAGUUUCCACCACUUCCUUCCCAUUGAGUCAUAGUUAUUCUUGUCCCAAGAACCAGCUUUUCAUCUCUUCUUUCAUGGGCCGAAGGUGUUUGUGCAGAGUGAGGUGCUUCCUGCCCUGGCCCCUGGGAAAGCCAGCGGUCUCGGUACAUGUAAUCUAUGUUGCUUGAAAACAGAGGCCAGAGUUCUUAACAUCCUGUACAGACUAACAUAUUUUUAACAUGGGGUUGUUUAGAAGGGAAUCAUGUAGGAAGUACAAAAACAGAAGGAGGGUGGUCUAGUUAGAGUUGUAGUCAGGCCCCUGCAGAGCUUGUCUGAGGCCCAGAGUGGGAGUCUUGUUAGAAUAAAGUUUUAAGCUCAAAAAGCAAACAGCCAGUUCAGUUACAUAAGAAGGCAAGAGAGUUCAGAUAAACCAGUUUAUUGCAACAUCUCCAGCACAGUAUAUUUUACAUAGCUGUUUAUACAUUAGAAGCUCAACAGUUAGUUAUCACUAAGCAAUCCUACCUGACUACCCACCUACUGUGCAACCUAUAGUCACAGCGGAGCUCAUUUUGUUGAUAAAAGAUUGACUAGCUCAAGAUUAGAAACAGAAGCACAUAGAGAAUGUCUGGGAUGGAUACAUCUGAAGGAGCGUCUCCACCUCCAUUAUUCUGCCUGGACACUGAGGUCCAGCACCGAGGGCCUUCUGGCGGUUCCAUCGCUACGAGAAGCCAAGUUACAGGGAACCAGGCAGAGGGCCUUCUCGGUAGUGGCACCUGCCCUUUGGAACGCCCUCCCACCAGAUGUCAAAGAGAAAAAUAACUACCAAACUUUUAGAAGACAUCUGAAGUCUUCUAAGCUUUUAAUGUUUAAUAGGUUAUUGUAUUUUAGUGUUCUGUUGGAAGCCGCCCAGAGUGGCUGGGGAAACCCAGCCAGAUGGGCGGGGUAUAAAUAAUGAAUUAUUAUUAUUAUUAUUAGCACUGUAUUUUCUGCUCUGAGUGGUGGUCAUACUCCUAGGAUGUAAGCGAGAGGGUCUUUCUCAGCUUUACUCCAGGAGCUGCUUUUCACUAUAGAUGCUGAGGAUUGAACCUGAGACCUUCUUCAAACAGCGCAUGGAGCUAUGUGUUAUCCCCCUCUCUGUGCUUUUAGCAGUUAAAAUCUCUGUGUUAAUGGAGCUCCCUUCUCAUGCGUUACACCGAUGGUUCAGGUAAACGACUCCUGUGAGAGGAAACAGGAGCCGGUCAUUCGUUACUACCCCUUGCCACCGAGUGGUAUGAAAACUUUUCAGAAGGAAAGCAAAAGUCAUACUGAAGAGAUGCAGAUCUUUAGACGUUAUAUCUUCCUAACAGACCAACUAAGUGAACUCUGUUUUGGGAUUUGGGACUCCACUGCAAUCUAACUACAACCUACAGCACAGUUGCGGAAAAUAAUGUUGAAGUUAGAACUGUGGUGUUCACAUCUUGAAGCAUUCACAUAUUAAUGAAUAAUAUAGAGUAUAUGUAAAAAUAAAAUAAAAAUGCAUGGGGACCCUCAUGAGCAAUGCAGUGUGAACAAGCAUUCGUCUGACCUUUUCCCUAGACAUUAGACCACCCACACUUGGUUCUCGUAAACCAGCCGGCUGCUAAUUUGGUGGGUGUGUUUUUAUUUUGUGUUUUCCAAGUUCUGUCUGGGUAUGUGAAUCCCAACGCUGUUAAAUGCAGGUGGCCUGCUUAUUGCUACCAAAUGUCUUACAUCGUGUCUUUUCAUUAUCACCCAACCUGUUUUCUUUGUAUUGCCCUACUGGGGCCACUUGUGCAGGUGGAAAUGUAGCUCCCUCCAAUUCUGGAGAAAAUAAGCCAGAGAAAAGAGAACUGAGCUCGGCCAAGUCCCUUUCGAAAUCAGGAGUUGCUGAAGGCCUGCUUUCUUUCUUGAUUUUGGUGAGACUUUUAGUGGCUUUGCAUUAAUUUCCAUCUGCUGGGCAGGCCCACACCCCUGAAUUUCUGCAGCAUGAGGAUUUGGGCUUGACAUUGUAACAUCGUCAAGAAUUAAAUUCACAUACGUAUGAAAUUAUUUUGAUUUCUUUACCUGGAUUUUCAUAGCCCUAAUCCAAAGCAGUAUGCUAAAAACCAAAUACGCUCUGAUAUAUCCCAAACCAACAAUAAAUCAGCAUAUCCCUAUUUCAAAGCAACAGUUGAUAGCAUUAAAGCCAAUGCAUAAUAAAAUAGAAACAGAAGCAUCAAUCAUUGGCUGUGAUGAUUAGCAUAUGCUAAUGAAACACAGCUUUUCUUGAUCCUCUGGGAAGAGGUAAUAAUCUAGCCUUUGGCUCCAAAAGCUGAGCUUCCUACCACCAGGCUCUGCUCUGUGCUUCUCCUCCUUUAAACCGAGAGAUGGAAAGCUCUGCGCUAUCUUGAAUAAUUUUGGCGGACCAGCUUAGCCCAGACACUUCCCCAUGGACUGCGGGGUUAACCGCAAAUCUUAGAAGAAACCCAGCCUGCUUGCUUCACAAAGCAAAUUUCCAUUACAUUCUCCUGACACUUGCAAACUCUUUAUCUUGGAGGAAACAACUGGGUGAGGGCGGUGAGGAAGUCGGGGGCCAGGGAGCACCCCCUUCCUCCCCUGCCUGGGUGGUGUGAAUGGCUGAUAACAAUGGUGAGGGCGAUAAGGGUCUUUCUGGGGCUGGUGAGAUAGCAGAGGGGCAGCAGGAAGACUGCUUGGUUUUGUGCUAAAGGGCCUCAGCCACAAGACCUCAAAGGAAAUGAUGCUAAUCCAAGUGCCAGGGCUCAGGGUCACUGCUGCAGAACUUCAGCUUGUUGCUUCUUGGGAAUUAGGGACAUGGAAGGGACUUGAGUAUACCACGUAGUCCAAAUGCUCUCUUCCUUAGGUUGGGAAGAAGAAUUCAUAAUAUAAGGAUGACAGUAAUGUUAUUCCACUUUGGUUUAGAAGUCAGCUUUCAUUCUUGACUGGUUGUCUGGAAGACAUGCUUCUGUUAAGAGAGGGACCACGAGGUGUUGCAUUCCUGGGUUUGUUCUGGUUUUUCAUUUGUGUGAAUAGUUGUGAGGUGCAGCGUUCUUGUCACCUUAUCUGUGCCAGAGGCUGUGUGGUAGUGGUUCCGAAGGACGUGUCAUGAUCCCCCAUUCUCUCUGAGCAAGGAAAUGUGUCGUGCACACAAACAGGAAAUAUCUUCUUGAGUUCGGGCCGUUUUGCUUCAUAGAAUUAAGGUUUAAGAAUCUGUGUAACAGUGAAUGCGCUGGAGUCAAGUUUAACGACCACAGCUUGCAUUUUGAAAAAGCAAAAAGAGUCUAGACUUGGUGGGAGAAGAGGAGAGGGGGGUUUGGAGAUGAAUUACUCUGCACUGAAGGCCCAGAUGCUAGAAAUAUGCCUUUCAGGUGUGACAUUUGUCUGCCUCACAGAGACUAUGACUCCUUUGUCACAUAUGUGUCAUUGUCACUACUCCGAAGCUUUAGCCUGUUUCAUAGAAUUGUAGAGUUGAAAGGGACCGUGAGAGUCAUCUAGUCCAGCCCCCUGCAGUCUUUAAUCAAAUGUGGAAUAUUUAAUCAAAUGUGGGGCUUGAACCCACAACCCAGAGAAUAAGAUUCUCAAUCUCUACCGGCUGAGCUAUUCAGGUAUUUAUUUGUUUCUUUCCAAGUUAAUCCAAAACGUUCAGUUACUGUCAAACCCCAAACGUUGCAGAUGGGAGAAGUAGGAAAAUGUAGUUGGCAAAUGUAGCUGAUUUAUACAGGUUACAGACUCCGCUAACCCAGAAAUAGUACCUUGAGUUAAUAACUUUGCUUCAGGAUGAGAACAGGAAUUGUGCUCUGGUGGCGCGGCGGCAGCAGGAGGCCCCAUUUGCUAAAGUGGUGCUUCAAGUUAAGAACAGUUUCAGGUUAAGAACGGACCUCCGGAAUGAAUUAAGUACUUAAUCUGAGGUACCACUGUACAUGAAAGCAGGAGCCCCUUUCAGUCAAGCACAGGAACACCUGUGCAUCCAUAAUAUUAGAUGCUCUCAGGCAGGACAUGAAGGCCAUGUGGGAGAAUUUUGUUUGCUCCACAUUUUUAGUGAACCGACCUGAUUCCUGAACUAAGACACAGAUUUAGCAUAAGGAUCCUUUGGAUUUCACAGUCCUCUGAAUUUUGUUAUACAUUUCUCGCUUUAAAAAUGCACCAAAAGGUCAAAAAUAAAUAAAUAAAAAGAAUCUCAGAUUAAUGCCAAAAUUGGAGAGAGCAGAUUUAUGAAUGAGCACAUGCAACAUGGACUGGUAAAUGAAUGGAUCUCUCCCUAAGCCAUGUUCUGACCUCAGAAUCCGAUGUCCAGAGAUAUCCUGCCUCUUGAAUGGUUCCAUUUAGCUCUCAUGACUCACAACGGCUAACAACAGGCAUUUCCUCGUUCCUAAUUCAACUACACAGCCUUCGCUCCUCAAACUGUUCUCUUGCCACUAGAUCAUGCUUCCUCUUUCAAAUAAAUACAUACGAUUUAUAUAUAGUGAAAUGUCACCAUCCCGAAGUCUGCUUCUCUCUCUCUUUUUCUUUUGAACUAAACAGAAGGCCGUCUCUUCUGCGAGUCUGUCUUUUCAUCAUUUUUCUGUUAACACUCCUAUUGCUUGGCACGAACAUUUUAAAGGCAUGCCUGUCUCGUAUGCCCUGCCAUCUUUUCUUCCUUAUUUGUGUGUGCUGUUUGUGCUCUCUGGUGCUUGUUUGUGUGUGGCUGAGCGGCUGAAUCACGGUGAAGUCCCACAAUACACAGAUUCAGUCGCAAGCUUCCCACAGGCAUCUGGUUGGCCACUGUGAAAACAGGAUGCUGAACGAGAUGGGCCUCAUCCUGCAGGGCUUAUAUUCUUAAUAAUAUCACCAUACCCUUACUUUUCCCCGUGUGAACUACCAUGUAUUGUACUUGUUUAUUUUAUAUUAUUGUACUGUAUUUUAUUACUGUAAUUGUGACCCUCAGCUGCCUUGGGAAUGCUGGUAUCCAAGAGCAGGAUAAAGAUCUGUUGAGUAAAUGGGUAAGUAAAUAAACCUUUCUGCUUUAUCGGCCACAAUGCCAGAGGAAGUAAUGUGCAUGAGCUUGCAGACUUUUUCCUCUGUUUCUAUCCGGGCACACCCGAGCAAAUCCAAAUUCCCCGGCAGAGCUGUUCCUCCUUGUUUAUAACAUGCUCUUCCUCUGGAUGCAGGAGCUGUGAGACCAAAGAUUACAUUUCUAGCCUUGACCCAUUAGUUAUCCAAACAUCUUGUUUCCACAGGUCCUGCCAUCUUCUCACUUCUCCAAACAUGCCUGGAAACUCUGCUUCCUGUUGAUUGGCUGGGCAGGGAUGUGCCCCACAGCAUGUGGGAGCAAAAAAAACCACCCCUAGGCCGUUUCCACCCAGCCACCAGAACUCAAGGAGGUUUUCCAGUACAGUAGUGUAGCAAGCUGAUGUCCGGCCUGGGAGUGGAAAAGAGAUGGGGCAGGAAGUACAUUAUUUCCCACACACCCUCAGAAGUGGCGGUUAUUGUGAAACUAGGCCACACAAUGGGUGUUCCAAAAAAUAUGCUGGAAACACUAAUGGGCAAAGAAAACCUGAGUGUGGGACAUAAUAAAGGUACAUCUUACACUAUACAUUAGAAAGUUAUAAAACGGGUUGCCUUAAUUCUGAGACAGGGCCAGGCCAAGGCAUUUUGCUGCCUGAGGCAGAACAGCAAAUGAUAUCCAUCCACCACAACUGAGUCACAGUGCAUCCUAUCCGAAGCAGACCAAGUUAUUUGGCAUCUGAGGCAGAAAAUCCCCAAGUGUCUUUUCAGGGCAGUUAAAAUGCAACAGUGAAAAAUGAAAAAUGAAUAAAAAAAAUCUAACCACCAGCUACCCUUUGACAACACCCACAAUCAGCUGCCUGAGGUGGCCACCUGACUCUGUCUAAAGAGAGCACUACCCUAAGGGUGCUCAGCACUUUUCCCACCAUCCCUGAAACCACAUGCUUCUUUUUUGUCAGAUAUUCCUCUUGCCCUUCCUCUUCCCCCAAACUACCCAUCUGCUACAACUAAUGAUCACAUUUUCUAAUGGGUGUGGGAGUAUUUCAUAGAAUCAUAGAGUUGGAAGAGACCACAAGGGCCAUCGAGUCCAACCCCCUGCCAAGCAGGAAACACCAUCAGAGCACUCCUGACAUAUGGUUGUCAAGCCUCUGCUUAAAGACCUCCAAAGAAGGAGACUCCACCACACUCCUUGGCAGCAAAUUCCACUGUCGAACAGCUCUUACUGUCAGGAAGUUCGUCCUAAUGUUUAGGUGGAAUCUUCUUUCUUGUAGUUUGGAUCCAUUGCUCCAUGUCCGCUUCUCUGGAGCAGCAGAAAACAACCUUUCUCCCUCCUCUAUGUGACAUCCUUUUAUAUAUUUGAACAUGGCUAUCAUACCACCCCUUAACCUCCUCUUCUCCAGGCUAAACAUGCCCAGCUCCCUUAGCCGUUCCUCAUAAGGCAUCGUUUCCAGGCCUUUGACCAUUUUGGUUGCCCUCCUCUGGACACGUUCCAGUUUGUCAGUGUCCUUCUUGAACUGUGGUGCCCAGAACUGGACACAGUACUCCAGGUGAGGUCUGACCAGAGCAGAAUACAGUGGCACUAUUACUUCCCUUGAUCUAGAUGCUAUACUCCUAUUGAUGCAGCCCAGAAUUGCAUUGGCUUUUUUAGCUGCCGCGUCACACUGUUGGCUCAUGUCAAGUUUGUGGUCAACCAAGACUCCUAGAUCCUUUUCACAUGUACUGCUCUCAAGCCAGGUGUCACCCAUCUUGUAUUUGUGCCUCUCAUUUUUUUGGCCCAAGUGCAAUACUUUACAUUUCUCCCUGUUAAAAUUCAUCUUGUUUGUUUUUGCCCAGUUCUCUAAUCUGUCAAGAUCGUUUUGAAGUGUGAUCCUGUCCUCUGGGGUGUUAGCCACCCCUCCCAGUUUGGUGCCCUUGAGUCCAUCAUCCAAGUCGUUGAUAAAGAUGUUGAAUAAGACCGGGCCCAAGACGGAACCCUGUGGCACCCCACUAGUCACUCUUCUCCAGGAUGAAGAGGAACCAUUGAUGAGCACCCUUUGGGUUCGGUCAGUCAGCCAGUUACAAAUCCACUGAGUGGUAGCAUAGUCAAGACCACAUUUUACCAGCUUCUUUACAAGAAUAUCAUGGGGCACCUUGUCAAAUGCCUUGCUGAAAUCAAGGUAGGCUACAUCCACUGCGUUCCCUUCAUCUACCAGGCUUGUAAUUCUGUCAAAAAACGAGAUCAGGUUAGUCUGACAUGACUUAUUUUUCAGAAAUCCAUGCUGACUAUUGGUGAUCACAGCAUUCCUUUCUAGGUGCUCACUGACUGUUUGCUUAAUGAUCUGUUCCAGAAUCUUCCCUGGUAUUGAUGUCAGACUGACUGGGCUGUAAUUAUUUGGGUCCUCUCUUUUCCCCUUUUUGAAAAUAGGGACAACAUUUGCCCUCCUCCAGUCUGCCGGGACUUCGCCUGUUAUCCAGGAAUUCUCAAAGAUGACUGCCAGUGGUUCUGAGAUCACAUCUGCCAGUUCUUUUAAUACUCUUGGAUGCAGUUCAUCUGGCCCUGGAGACUUGAAUACAUCUAAACUAGCCAAGUAUUCUUGUACUAUCUCCUUAGUUAUUCUGGGCUGUGUUUCCUUUGCUGAAUCAUUUGCUCCAAAUUCUUCAGGUCGGGCAUUGUUUUCUUUAUUGGAGAAGACUGAGGCAAAGAAGGCAUUGAGGAGUUCAGCCCUUUCUGUGUCCCCUGUUUGCAUUUCACCAUCUUCUCCUCUGAGUGACCCCACUGUUUCUUUGUUCUUCCUUUUGCUACGAACAUACCCAUAAAAGCCUUUUUUGUUGCUUUUAACCUCUCUAGCAAGCCUGAGUUCAUUCUGUGCUUUAGCUUUUCUGACUUUGUGUCUACACGUGCUGGCCAUUUGUUUGAAUUCCUCUUUGGUGGUUUCCCCCUUUUCCAUUUUUGUACACAUCCUUUUUAAUCUUAACUCAGUUAAAAGUUCUUUAGAUAGCCACCCUGGCUUCUUUAGGCACCUUCCAUGUUUCCGUCUCAUUGGUAUUGCCUGACGUUGUGCUUUUACUAUCUCCCUCUUAACAAACUCCCAGCCAUCAUGAACUCCCUUUCCUUUUAGUAUUACUGUCCAUGGGAUCUCACCCAGCACUUCCCUAAGUUUUAUGAAGUCGGCUUUCUUAAAAUCAAGAAAUUGAGUCCUAGUAUGCUUGGCUGCUCCUUUCCGCUGUAUAGUAAACUUCAGAAGAGCAUGAUCACUCGCGCCUAAUGAUCCUUCCACUUCUACCCCACUAACCAGGUCAUCAACAUUGGUUAGGACCAGAUCUAAAAUGGCUGUUCCUCUUGUUGCUUCUCCCACUUUCUGGACAAUAAAAGAGAUCCUCAACUGGAGAUCCUCAAAUGGAGUCUGCUCUUCGUCUUCCAUGCUAGGGGAGAGGACCUCAGAGCGAACCCUGGGCCUCCUACUUCUUUGAGUCACGUUUCUCCAUAUAUCUGGCUCCUGUGUUGGUGAACUAGCCUCCUUCUCGGGGGGGUGUCCCCUGUCUCUUCCUUGGUGGAGACGGUGUGCUCUGCUGCUUCCAAGAAGAGCGCCAGCUCUCUAAUUCUUUGGAGCGUAGCUACACAUUCCUCCAGUUGCUGGACUUUGUCUUUUAAGAGGGCAAUCAACAUGCAAUUGCUGCAGGUAAAGUUGCCUGCAACCUUUGGCAAGAUGGCAAACAUUGCGCAGGAACCGCAGGCGACUGCAGCUGUUCCCUCCCCCUCCAUCUUGAGAACGUGUCGUUAGGGGUGGCUACAGCGGUCCUCCAUCAUAAAAAGCGUGAAGACAGGACAAAUAACUCCCUCCACAAAAAAACCUAGGUCUCCCCCAACAAACGUUUGAGACUAGCUCCCCUAAAUCUAAAAGAUGGAUCAAACAGAAACCCUGCCCCCUCUGACCUUUGCACAGAGAGAGCAGCUAAUCAGCCACAAAGAAACACACACACACAAGAAAACCCUUUUUGCUCCUUCUUCAACUGCUGCCCUGCAAGCUCUGAUAUUUGUUGACUGCAGCACAUAAAAGUUUGCGUGUGCAGCAAGUUUGUGGGUGUACACAAUACACAAUAAAAAGGAAGCAGCAGGACAUACAUUUAUUUCCUUCAGGUACUUUGAACCUGUGCCGUUAGUUCUUCCCAAAAUGCCCUGUCCCAGGCUGUCUUUUUCUCACUGCAUGGUUGUCAGCACAGCACAGAGCAAAGCCUAUUAUGGCUGUUGCCAAUAAACUUCUCCAUACAGUGGUACCUUGGGUUAAGAACUUAAUUCGUUCUGGAGGUCCGUUCUUAACCUGAAACUGUUCUUAACCUGAAGCACCACUUUAGCUAAUGGGGCCUCCUGCUGCCGCCACGCCGCCAGAGCACAAUUCCUGUUCUCAUCCUGAAGCAAAGUUAUUAACCCGAGGUAUUAUUUCUGGGUUAGCGGAGUCUGUAACCUGAAGCGUAUGUAACCUGAAGCGUCUGUAACCUGAGGUACCACUGUACAUUUCACACAUGACUGUAACUUUGCGUGCCAAAGAUCCCUAGUGCUAUUGCAGGUGCCAGUGCUUGUCUGAAACACUGGAGAGCUGCUGCCAGUCAGUGCAUAGAAUCCUAGAAUUGUAGAGUCGGAAGGGACUCUGAGGAUCAUCUAGUCCAACCUUUGCAAUGCAGGAAUAUGCAACUGUCCUAUACAGGGAUUGAACCUGCAACCUUCUCAUUACCAGCACCACGCUCUAACCAAGUGAGCUACCCAUCUUAUACAAAACGUAUUGACCAUGAAGGGUCUUGAACCCCCAAUCUUCUGAUCCUAAUUCCUUAACCAUUAGGCCACACGGUCACAAGAAUAGCUGACAUGGUGCCAUCUGGAUACUGUUGGCCCCCUGCCAGCAUGCCCAAUGAUCAGGGAUGAUGGGAGUUGUGGGCAGACAACAAUGCUGAGCUGUGGGGAUCAAGGGUCUGACAGCUUUCUAGAACAGCUAAAGGUCCACAGGUACCCCACAUAUAUUGCUCCCCACAUUCUUGUUUUGCAGAAGUUCCACUUGCAGCUGCUGGUGGACCAUCUUUGUUUGUUUAUUAUGGUGCUGACAGAGUUUUUGACUCCAAAUCUGGUGCCCUUCCCAAAUAUUUCUUCAUUUACGUUUCUCUUUCCAGCUCAGCUUGGAGUUCUGACUCUCCUCAGCUAUAAGCCUGCCAAGAGCUGAAUGCAGCCCCUUUGGGCUCUCCCAUCUCUGAUCCCAAAGCGCUCUUGAAGGCAGCAAGCUUUUCUGCCCCACGUUCUCUCUUAUAUUCCGCAAAGCCUGGCCUGCAGGCUUUGGUGGAGAGGCCAUUUUACACUCUUAUGCCUUCCUGAUAAGCCUAUCCGUGAAAUGCAUUGUUUGCGUAUGGUAGAAUCCAUAUCUCUGCCUAAGCCGUUCCACGUUUUGGAAGCUCGACGUUCUUCCCCAAGGGUAAAAGGGAUACAAACUGCGUAAUAAGCAAGAGGCAGGUGACUAAAUUGUUUCUAAAUGCUGUGUGUGUUUGUGGUAAGAGGGUUCCACAGGAAACCUGAAGGUCCUGAGCUAAGGAGGUGGACAGACCAUUCUGAAAGCUCUGUGCUCCUCUAGUCCACAGGCUUGCUAACAAGACAGAAAAAUAUAAAUUGUAGCUGGGCUAUAUGGAAAUAAUAACCUACAGAGCUUGUGUUCCUGAACUCCCCGCUCCCUUUUUUUAGCCCUUUGUAAUAUCUAAAUAUGGUUUGAAGCUCAACAUCAAAGAAAGGAAGAUCAUGGCCACUGGUCCCAUCACCUCCUGGCAAAUAGAAGGGGAAGAAAUGGAGGCAGUGAGAGAUUUUACUUUCUUGGGCUCCAUGAUCACUGCAGAUGGUGGCAGCAGCCACGAAAUUAAAAGACGCCUGCUCCUUGGGAGAAAAGCAAUGACAAACCUAGACAGCAUCUUAACAAGCAGAGACAUCACCUUGCCAACAAAGGUCCGUAUAGUUAAAGCUAUGGUUUUCCCAGUAGUGAUGUAUGGAAGUGAGAGCUGGACCAUAAAGAAGGCUGAUCGCCAAAGAAUUGAUGCUUUUGAAUUAUGGUGCUGGAGGAGACUCUUGAGAGUCCCAUGGACUGCAAGAAGAUCAAACCUCUCCAUUCUUAAGGAAAUCAGCCCUGAGUGCUCACUGGAAAGAGAGAUCCUGAAGCUGAGACUCCAAUACUUUGGCCACCUCAUGAGAAGAGAAGACUCCCUGGAAAAAACUCUGAUGUUGGGAAAGAUGGAGGGCACAAGGAGAAGGGGACAACAGAGGACGAGAUGGUUGGACAGUGUUCUCGAACCUACCAGCAUGAGUCUGACCAAAUUGCGGGAGGCAGUGGAAGACAGGAGUGCCUGGUGUGCUCUGGUCCAUGGCGUCACGAAGUGUCAGACAUGACUAAAUGACUAAACAACAACAACAAUAUCUAUGCCAUGUUGUUCUAGCAAUGUGAUUGAAUUGUGCUCUGCCCUCUUAAGCAGAGCCCAGCCUCCAGGCUCUCGCUAGACGAAAACAUGUGCAAGGAUAACUUCGGAGCCUGCCAAGGAGUUGCAUACAACCUUGUAAAUAAAUCAAGUUGCAAACACCUGUGUGGAGUCUGAAUUCAACAGUCAAGGCUCAACACACACAUCUGCAGCGUGAAUUUUUUUCUGCCUGCUAUCCAUGCAAAUGAAAUUAUCCACUGUGCCUAGCCACUGAUUUAUCGUUUCCAGGGCUAGAUGUAGUGACGUCACUGAAAGAACAGUUGGGGCACUAUGUUCUGUGCACUUUGACUAUGAAAGUUGACUCUAAAAUCUUCCUGGUACCUCAGCCCAGCUAAGAUCCCUGUGCAGAAGCAAGCUGUCACUCAUUCAUCGCUUGUUGGAUUAGGAGCCAUGGAUUUAAAUCAAACGCACAUUGAAAAUGUGCCUUUUGAAUAUGGGCAUUGUCAUCCUGUAUUGCAUUGCAUGGCAUUCCGUGGGCUGCAUGAGGGCGUGAGCAUCGACAUUCUCGCGCAACUAGUUACAUGUAAAUUAAUCAUGACUUGAGCAGGAUCAGCUCGUAGCUUUUCUUGCCUGCUUUAUAAAAUAGGGCAUAAUUAGCAGAAAUAUGAUCAAAGGGCAGGCUCUCAGAAGAGGCUGGGUUUUAUUUUAUUUUUGUCUUGUUCAAGAAAGAAACAGACUUGGGGCUGAUGACCUUUCCUAGCAUAUAAACCAUAUGCAUCCGUAUCAAAGAGGGAUUGUGGUCUAGUGGCGAAGGAACAGUUUGGGGGCUUAGAUCCUGUAAAUAAAUUAUACAGAAGGAGGUGUAUAUUUCUAGCUACAAGCCAUGAUGGUUAAAUGGAAACAUGCAAGGGUAGUAUCCCUCUGAUUGCCAGAUCCUUUGAGGUACAGAAAACAGAGGGCAGCUGUCACCUUUGUGUCUUGCCUGAGAGCUUCCAGUGAGGGAUUCCAGUGUCCCCAUACCUGCCAUAAAGGUACGCAGUCCAGGCCUUUGGGCAUGCAUUCCAUGCACAGGCAAAAGAUUGCCCUUUUGCCCAUCCCCUCCCCACAAUUGCUGGCCCUGCCUUCCCCUGCCCCAAGCAAAUUUGGUGGUCUGUUGUGAGGGGGGGUGGGCUGAGAGAGAGAUAAGAAGCUGUGGUGAGAGCUUGCAAUGCAGGCCAAACAGAGCCCGCCCAUAGCAACGCUACUUUAGGACAGCUUGAUGUGGAUCAACAUGUGAGAAAUUGCAAAAUGUAUGCAAAAGUAGGGGGGGGUAUCCAAGACAUAAAAUUUCACAAUAAAUCCAUUGAUUUCUGUUGUCAUUAUUAUUUUUACCACAGUGGUUUUUAUUUGCAUAUUGAAAAGAAGGGGAGGGGGGUUGGAAUGCAAACUGAACCAGAAAACUGAACUGCAUAUUCUGCCCUUGAAUAUAGCUUCUCCCUCCCAAAAAAAUAGGUUGUGUGAGGGGUGUUUGUAAGGGUAGGAGCAACAAGCACACUCCGGGCUUGUCCACGCCUGAGUUUAGUGGGUAACUGAAAGGGUUUGCAUUCCCAUUUAAGUAGUAUUGCCUGCAUAAACAACUCCUAUCAUGAUGGUUCUCCCCUGUAAAUUCAGAUUUUUCUCAUCCGGGGAUAAUCCAAUAAAUUUUAAAAUGCCACUCCAAACCUUCAUCAUCAGGGCGGUAUAAAAAUUUAAUAAAUAGUAAUAAAAGAAUAAUAAUGAGGAGGUCAAAUCUGAACGGGGGAAAACACGGAUUCCAAUUGAGAUCCAACUCCAAUGUGAACAUGCCUUUGAAUUCUUCAGCAGGUUUCCCUGACCAUCAGCACCGAAAUGUAUUUUUCAGCUGCUGUCGCUGGCUUCUGAAAAAUGAGCCUUUCCCCACUUUUAAGUUCUCAACUAUUAGAAGCAUUGCCACAGCCAUAAGCACUUCAAAAGCGGUGCUGCUACCAUUCGCUGCAAUUUUCCCCAGGAAAAAACAACCCUGCUCCCCUCUUGAAGUUUGGCUGUUAGACACAGUCUCCUUCCUGCACAUGUCCUUCUCAUGCCCGGGAGGGCAUUUCAAAGGGGCACAGGGGAUGUUUUCUCUUAGCCCUUCUGGCCCUUAUUUCCCCCCUCAAACCAUUUCGCCACGUACGGCUGAAAAGCAGCCGGGAACCUCUGGCCCUCUUGGGCUUGUGCCGUUUGCGAACAUGAUUAAUGAGGGAGACGAGAGCACAAAGGAGCUGGCUGCUCUUAGGAUGACUGUACAGCCUAGCUAAUUGGGUUUCCCAGGUGCAUCACCACCGCAUGCGGGGGCCCUUGAAACGCGCUCGUGCCAUAUGCGAAAGCACCCUUCAUCGGCAAUGAAAGGUGGCUGCAGUUGCUGCCAUUGAUAGGACAGCCAUGACGACAAUAUAUUCCUAUCCAGAAAGAAAGAAAGAAAGAAAGAAAGAAAGAAAGAAAGAAAGAAAGAAAGAAAGAGAAAAGCCCCCAAGGGAACCAAUAUUAGAGAUUAGAAAGCGGGAUGGUUUCUAAUAUCUCUAUUCACUUCAGAGCUAAUUUCCCCCUCCUGAUACAGAUCCCCUUUCACUGCUGUGACCUAAGGACUUUCAUCACUGGAAAAGCUCCUCACACACACCAUAAUUCUGACAACAAAAGAAAGUUCUCUGAUUUGACUUGACUUGGCUCGGCUCAGCUCUGUAACCUCAUCAUGAGAUUACAACUCUGAUGGGGGCGGGGGCGAGAAUCAAGAAUAAUACCCGAAACAAGAGUCCCAUUGAUAAAGCCUGAGUAAUGCUCAGCUCCUGCUAGUCAGACCCUUUGGGCUGGAAGCUGAAGCCAUCUUAUCUCUAAGGAGACAGUGUGUUUCUGUGAUAGUAGAUGAAAGCUGGCCCAGCCAUCGAGGAGCUCGUGGAAUCCGAAAGGAACGCUGGGCUCAAUCCACCAAGCAGUGCUGCUCCACUGUUUCCAAGCCCUGAUGAAACUGAGGGAGAGGCAUUUUCUGGGAUUAUCCACUCACUUGGCACAUAAAAGGCAAGCAGGGAGGCCUCGGAGGGAUGUCUAUAUGGACACCAUCCAUUCACGCUGCUGGACAAAGUCUCUCAUUUUCACAAGCAGAAGUGAAGAGGGCAUGUCGUGAGCCAGUGUGACUCCCUGGGUGCAUGCACAAUCACUUUCCAUUGGCUACAUUGCAGGAAAAACCUCUGAAUCUGAAUCGCAGAACUGAACAAUCUCUACUUUCUGGACAUGGCACGAGAUCUGGAACAAUGUCAGCGCUGCCAAAUCCCAGCCUCAUCACUCCUGCAUUAUAAGGCAUAAAGUACCAUAAAAUCUUAGCUCUUUUGUUCAUUGGGGGGGGGGGAGUUUUAUUACUGGCAAUAACAGCUCAAGAAGCUGAAGCAGUAGGUAAGGACAUGACCUAAUUCUCACAAAUGUACAGAAAAGGAGGGGUAAAACCUUUCUAACUUGACUUCCAUCUAUUUUCUGGUGCGAUUUUCCAUCUGUGCUACUGUGCUUCUCCUUGCGGUCGUGCAUGCAGGUACAUGAAUCAUAGAACUGUAGAGCUGGAAGGACCCACGAGGGUCAUCUAGCCCAAACCCCCUGCAAUGCAGGAAUCUUUUGACCAAUGGGGGGCUCAAACCCAUGACACAGAAAUUAAGAGGCAUGGUGACUUUGAAUGCCAGUUGCUAGGAAAGGCACGUGGGCAGAGUGCUGUUGUGCUAAGGUUCUACUUAUGGAAUUUCUAUGGACAUCUGGUUGGCCAGUGUGAGAACAGGAUGCUGGGCUAGAUGGGCCAUUGACCUGACCCUUAUCUUCGUAUCAGAGCACUGCUCUUAUCUUCUUAUCAGAGCACUGUUGUUGUUGUUUAGUCUUUUAGUCAUGUCCAACUCUUCGUGACCCCAUGGACCAGAGCACGCCAGGCACUCCUGUCUUCCACUGCCUCCUUCAGUUUGGUCAGACUCAUGUUUGUAGCUUCGAGAACACUGUCCAACAAUCUCGUCCUCUGUCGUCCCCUUCUCCUUGUGCCCUCCAUCUUUCCCAGCAUCAGGGUCUUUUCCAGGGAGUCUUCUCUUCUCAUGAAGUGGCCAAAGUAUUGGAGCCUCAGCUUCAGGAUCUGUCCUUCCAGUGAGCACUCAGGGCUGAUUUCCUUCAGAAUGGAGAGGUUUGAUCUUCUUGCAGUCCAUGGAACUCUCAAGAGUCUCCUCCAGCACCAUAAUUCAAAAGCAUCAAUUCUUUGGCAAUCAGCCUUCUUUAUGGUCCAGCUCUCACUUCCAUACACUAGGUAGGUUGAAUUUGGCAAUGGUGUGUGUGGAGGACUUGACAUGAGGCUGCCAUUUGCAGCAGCAGCAGCUCCAUGUUCAGCACAUGGCGCACUUCCCCAACCCAAACCUUGUUAAUCCUGAGAAUUUAGAUAAAAGCGAGGAACUCUCAUACAGUGGUACCUUGGGUUACAUAUGCUUUAGGUUACAUACGCUUCAGGUUACAGACUCUGCUAACCCAGAAAUAGUACCUUGGGUUAAGAACUUUGCUUCAGGAUGAGAACAGAAAUCGUGCUCCCGCGGCAGCGGAGGCCCCAUUAGCUAAAGUGGUGCUUCAGGUUAAGAACAGUUUCAGGUUAAGUACGGACCUCCGGAACGAAUUAAGUACUUAACCCGAGGUACCACUGAAUAUGGUUCCAUUUAGAGGCAAAUAGGGAUGUGGAUUUGGAUGUGGGUAGAGCAGGUUCAAAUCCUCGGCUAUGAAGCUAAUCGGGUCACUAUCUCUCUCCCUAAUCUUCCUCACAAGGUCGCUGUAAUGUCAAAACAGCAUUGUGGAGGAAGAACAAACACAAAACAUCUCAUAAGCAGCACUGCCAGGUCUGUUGCCGCAAUGCCUACUGUUUUUCUAAAGAAGAAACACCUGGCAUAUCAUAUUUUUUUUAUUUUUAAAACAGGCUGCCGUGCUUCCUUCGCUUUAAUUAAUCUCACGGAAGGUGUCCGCGAUGAAUUGCUGGUCUCCUGCACAGAGCUUCAAUUUACAAAUAACAGGUGCCUUACAAAUAAGUGCAAAUUAGGAGGAUUAUUCAUCUUUCACUUUGAGUUAUAGGCAAAGGAGAAAAUUCAUCAAUUCAGCAUUCUUAAGCUGGAUGGCCCCUUCCUUCUUGUAUUCUCUCGCAGUCCGCAUAACUUUGUGGAACGUCGCCUCUGACAGAGAAUGCUUUAAAUCCUAAAUUAGAACCGAAACAAAUGAGUAGAAGCAUUGCAUGAUGUAUCUGGUGCUGGGCUAGACCCCUGCAGGUGGGGGAGGCAGAAUGCUGCCCCCACACCCGGCACACACACACAUUUGAACAAAACUCCUUACGCAUACAAAACUUGCAUGUCCAGGAAAAGGCUACCCUAGAUUUGCCUUGAAGAACUCAUCUUCUAUAUGCAGCAAUCCAAGCUCCUGGUUUUGUGGGGAGAGCCAGCCUGGGCAAGAUGCUCUCAGUGGGCUUUCCCCUUGCAACCUUCCAUAUUCUCCACCUGCCAGUCCCCACUGCUUUCUAGUGAAAAGGGGGCAGAGUAGCGAACUAGAGACAGUAGCAACUGUGGUUAUUUCUUUCUGUUCACUUCUGUUGCUUGCUGGCACUCUCCCUCUGUGCCGGACUGUCAGAGUGUCCUAGCAAGUGACAGUAGUGACAAGAGGAACAAGGGCAGGGUUGGGAGACUCUGGUCAGAAUAUUAAAAACACGAUUAAAACAUAAACAUUAAGAACUUCCCCAAACAGGGACUGCCUUCAGAUGUCUUCUAAAAGUCAGAUGCAGUGGUACCUUGGUUUAAGAACAGCUUAGUUUAUGAACAAUUUGUAUUAAGAACUCUGCAAACCCAGAAGUAGGUGUUUUGGUUUGUGAACUUUGCUUGUUCCGCUUCCUGUUGAGUGUGUUCCAUUUGUAAAUUGAGUCCCCCACUGCUAUGGGAAAGCACACCUUGGUUUAAGAACACUUUGGUUUAAGAAAGGACUUCCAGAACAGAUUAAGUUUGUAAACCAAGGUACCACUGUAGUUGUUUAUUUCCUGAUGGGACCGCAUUCCACAGGGAGGGUGCCACUACAGAGAAGGCCCUCUGCCUGGUCACUGCCCCUUGACCAGUAUCCAGCGAUGCUGACUCUUGAUGUCAGGCACUGAUAUUUAGAAAGUAUUUAAUAUGGGGUCCCUGGUCUUGAUCCCCUGAUGGUAUAGCUCAUCAAUAGAUGUAUCAAGUGGUCUCUCUUAGUUCAUUUCCUCUCUUAGACUUAAAAUCACCGGAAAACCCUUGAUAUCUCUGUAGGUUGUUCCAACAGUGCCAUAAUACUGCCAAUGGGAGGCUGGCUUUCCUGAGGUGAAACUGACCCUUUAGGCCCAAUAUUUUUGUAGCGUUGGAGGCACUGAACCCACUUACCCCAAUUGUUCUGAAAACCAACUUUCCAUGGAAUAUUAGACCUUUGACGUGCCCGCCAAGGCAUUUAUCAAAGCCAAUAUGUGCUAAUAGUCUUUGGCCUCAGCGAUAGCAUGUAAAAUAUUCAUUCUUAAAUUAUCAUGCAGACACAAAAGACAUAUUACAAAGAAGCUGGCACAUAUAAAUCUGUAUUUUAAGAGCACAGUGUGAGUACAUAUAAUGAUAUAUCUUUUCCUCAUUUAUCUUUUUAACAAUGCUGCAAGGUACGUUAGACUGAGACUGACUUUCACAGGUGAAAUGCUUGACUGAAAAUGGAUUUUAUAUUAAAAAAUACUUCAUAGAAAUAUUAAUCAAUGUUUAGUAGAAUGUGUGUAUGUCUAAUGACUGAGGAUAACUGAUGUGAGAGAAACUAGAAUGCUUUUACCCCCUGUCUCCAGUACCUAGGAGGCCAGUACCUAGUUUAAUCAAGCCAAAUUGUUUUUUCUCCAAUUAAGACCCAAAUGAGGAAAGACUUUCAGUGCGAUGUAUAGUUUUGCUGCUCCCACUACUGCAUGUUUCCCAGGUGUGAGUAAAGGUAGGGUUGCCAUAUUCUGAAGAUCAAAAAAGAGGGCACAUUUGCCAACUUUUAACUAUGGAUCACUAAGACAACUCUCAUUUUACAUACCCAUGAAAAAGAGGACAUGUGGCAACCCUAAAUUUUGGAAACACAAACCAGGGGACCUGAAAGGAGUGCCCUUUUCAUCAUUCAACUGCUAAAGCUAUAGGACUAAACAACAGAAGAAUCAAGAUGACUCCGGUCAGAUACACCAAAUUCCCAAGGCACAUCUGAACAUGUAUUUAAGGAGAACAGAAGGAAUCAUAAAAUGAGACAUUUAAUAAAAUAAGCACAAAAGCAUGCUAACUAAUGACUCUCAAUGAUCAUAUAUGCGAUACAUAUCUACUACUAGGGGCUGCUCCUCCUGCUUAUGUUGCUUGCCAACUUUUCAUCUGAAUGGGGCAGUACCCAGGGCUGUGGGUGCCAUGCAACGUGCAUGGCCCUGGCCCCUUCAUGAGGAAUUUUGUGGGUGCUCAGGCACCCAAGGCCCCAGGGAGUUGGCACCUAUGGAGCAGAGAUGUGGUUCAAGAAACUGGACUGUGGCUGUCAUGUCUAGUUUGGCCCUGUGUCUGGCCUGGAUCUCUUCCAGUUUCCAAAAGAUCUGCAGGACAGAAGAAAAACAAAAGAGUGUUGCAACUGCUAGGCAUUUAAUGGAUAUGUCUUCCUGGGGUUAGGGCAGAAGGCAUGUGAUUCUGAACCAAUCCCAGCCCAAGGGUCAGGAAAGAGGAGAUGGGCAUGCUGAAUCCACAACCUUCACACUGGUGCUCUUCCUGUCAGAAAGUGCUGAACGAAGCAGCACAAUCAUCAAAGGUCAGAGGUGAAUGAUUCUCCAUACGCAUUCCAGAGCAAUAAUUGUCUCAGAAAACUGAACUUCCGGCUUCAGAAGGCCUCGGUUCAAAAUGGCUUUCCACUGCAAAACACUUACAAGCAGCAGGAUGGAAGAGAUCAGGUCCCUGCUUUUGCUUAUUUGUAAAGGCAUAAUUUGCAAAGUGGCUCAAAGCAGGGGAAUAAACCAGUCCCUCUUCCUACAUUCAUACGCUGAGCAAACCUAUGGGGGUAGGGGGGGAGGCAGCACUGUGGCAGCAGACUCUGCCCACAUGCCACACCAUAUUCACCUCCCGCUGCGUGUCUGCAGCAUGUCUGUGUGUGCAGGCAUCGUUCCAUAUAGCUGGCAACCCUGCAGGGAAAAGAAGACCCUGCAGAUGUACAAUGGAAUACGCAUCCCGUACGGGAGUUGGAGCCUGACACCACACUGCUUCUCUCACCCCUAUGUACAGUCAUAUAAAACAUCAACGGAAGAUGGGUGAAGAUGGCUAAAGUCAUGUAGGUCUGACACAGGCGAAAUAUAUAUAUAUAUAUAUAUAUAUAUAUAUAUAUAUAUAUAUAUAUACAGUAUAUAUAAAAAAUGUCCAGUAGCACCUUAGAGACUAACUCUAUGCACACGAAAGCUUAUACCAAGAACAAACAUAGUUGGUUUCUAAGGUGCUACUGUACAAUAUUUUUAUUUUUAUAUAUAUUUCGAUGGCUAAAGUGUAAGUCAGGGAUGGAUAACCUGCAGUCCCCCCCAUGUUGGACUCCAGAUCCCAACAGCCCCAGUCAACAGGGCCAAUGAUCAGGGAUGAUGGGAGUUGAAGUCCAGCAACAUCUGAAGAGCCACAGGUUCCCCUUCCUGCUAUGAGUGAAGUGCAUUUGUUUGGACACUUUUGGAAAAAGCUUUCAGAAUCUUCUGUUUGACCAGCUGUCUAGCUCAGUGGAACAAAAGCGCAUUAGUGAGACUUCUUCUUUCAAAGUCUCUGGCAUGGUUUUCAGCUCUUGCAGUGAUAACCCAUCCUUAUUUUUAAGAUCUUCCCCUCCUGUACAUUUCAAAUGUGGACUGAGUUUAAGGGUGAAUAAAUGAGUGAGGGCAGCCGCUUCUUCAUUGCUGAAGUAAAAUGCUAGCGCUUUUGAAAGAGAUGUAGCCAGGGCAGGCCGAGCUCAUCGCCAUAGGCAAAUCAGUGCUGCCACCCCUAUAUUCCCUUCAACUGUGUUUAUAUCAUCAGCAUAAUGGUGUUCAGCUUCCAUGUCAGGCACACUUUUGCCGUCUUCUGAUAAGAAAUAUAUAUUUCUGGUAUUCAGUCACUCCUUUAGGCUCCGUCAUAGGGUGGCAUUGUGGGAAGCAGUGGAAGCAGUUUGGUGGCAGGGAUGUCACACAUUCAUCUAACAUUUUCCCCCUUUGCCAUGCUUCCAUUCCUCCAUCUGUGGUACCCUUGUCUGCUGAAGUGCCAGAUAAAACUGCCCCCCCCCUUGUUGUUUUCUCAUCUUUAUUAGUGUGUGUGUUUUGGCAAUGACUCACUUCCUUCUUUGUUGUUUUUCAUUCUUUGGUGAAUUUUAAAAUAGACCUCCCAUCCAAAUGUCUGGCAGAUUACCUACCACCCAACAUGCUUUUGUUUUGUUUCUGUUGCAACCGGUGAAGAGGUUAAGUAACUCCCCGGCCAGGACUUAAAAGCUGGAACCAGGAUGCAGAGAGCAGUCUCCUCACCUGGACUUCCAGGUUUCUGAAGCUGAGCCAGGCUAGCUUCCGUUUAUUGUUGGCUUUGUUUUAGUUUGUUGUGGAGGCUGCUCCCAGAUGUUUAGUUUCUUAAACAUAGUAUCCGGAAGUCCUGGAAAAUUCAGACAAGACACUUCCCUUCCCUUCCAUAGCAUACACGCAACCUAUAUAUCAAGGAAAACGCAAGAAAAAUCCUCACAGCUAACAGGGAGCAAGACUCAACUUCCAAUCCCAUAUUAGGUUUCAAACUAAAUAGAUUUAGCUCAUUAACAUGGGAGACCUAGUUGAAUUUAGGCUCUGGAGCUAAAAGAAAAAUUAGGGCAUGGCAUGGCCUGAGUGUAUAUAGCAAUAGCACGAUGUCUUCCUUUUAGCAGGAGAGACUGCUUUGGGAGGAAACUACAGUGGUACCUCGAGUUACAUACGCUUCAGGUUACAGACUCCGCUAACCCAGAAAUAGUACCUCAGGUUAAGAACUUUGCUUCAGGAUGAGAACAGAAAUCGCGCGGCAGUAGCGGGAGGCCCCAUUAGCUAAAGUGGUGCUUCAGGUUAAGAACAGUUUCAGGUUAAGAACGGACUUCCGGAACGAAUUAAGUACUUAACCCGAGGUACCACUGUAUUGGAAGCAGAGAAGCAGCAAUGAGAGGGUAUAUGUUGAAACCAUCCAGAUUACCAGGGGCAGUCCUUAUUUUCUACCUGUCCCAGAUUAACAGUGGUGUAGCCGGAGAGUCACAGGGGCAGUUGCCCUGGGCACAAAAUUUCAGCACCCGGUGCUAUCUCAGUACAGCUGUGCUCUUGUGUCGCUGGGCUCUGUUGAGGACAGCUUCUCCAUGCGAACCAGGAAGUAACCUCUCCAGACAACCUCUUAUUUUCUUAUCUCUGUGGCUGCAAUCUCUUGGGUGACAUGAAUGCCUUUAGGCAGUUGAAUGUGCAUGCGCACUCUGUCCGUUUCCCACCCACCCACCCCCACCCCCUCUGCACAGCAACCCACGCUACGCCACUGCAGGUUUAAAAGAAACUUAAAAUAAGGUCUUUGAUCUCUUAAGGUAACACUGCACUACUCCCAGAGUAACUGGCGCAUUAUACUCUAUCACACUAUACCUUGGGGAGAAACACAUCUAGUGUGCUUGACCCUAAGGGGACUCUCACACUAACAGCCUAGCUCUCUGUUUACUUGGAAGUUACACUGAUUUCAGUGGGGCAUUUGCUGGUAAGUUUCUUGCAGCAAAAUCCUACCCCUGUCUACCUGGGAGUAAGCACCUCUGAACUCAAUGAGCUUUACAUUUGACUUACAGGAUCAGGUCCCAAGAGCAAAAGGUGGAUGGCUGAUUUAUUCAUCUUGAUUUACAAUCUGUUAAUGCAAAGGUUGUCUUUUGGCUCCAUUAAUGCUGCCUAGAGGCUCCGCUAUUUUUUUUAUCAGGCAAAUAUAUCAAAUCAGCCUUUCCAGAUAACGCUUGUCUUCUGUUGUUCUGGAGGUAACUGAGAAAUACUCCAGUUUGUUUCUAUCUGAUGUGAGCCAAUCCCUGUUCGGUCCCCAUUGGUUUAAACUGACCCUCCUGCUCCCCUGGAUUUGUAAAGUAUAUAAAGUCAGGACUCAAUACUCUAUGGUUUCUUUUUUCCAAAAAAAAAAAAAUGUCAGGAGAGGUGUGGUAAAUUAUAUAGUUUCAUUUAAUUGUUGCUAUUUUUAUACCACAGGUUAGAGCAGAAGAGGGCAAGGAGUAAAUGAAUACCAGAAAUUCAUAAUAAUGUUCUUGUCAUCGCUCCUUGCCUGUGUGAAAUGAAAGAAGUGUAGACAGGAAUACUGAAGUCACAGAUCAAAACACCUUUGAUUUAAGAGAAAUGGAGGCUUUUAAAAAUUUCACUCAUGCACCAAAAACCAUGGUACAUACACUUGUCCUCACCACCACUUCCCAAAUUCUGCUGCUGCAAACCUCCUUGGUUUCAUGCUUGCCAUCUUUCUGUUUUGAAGAGGCUGUGCUCUUCCUGGGAAGAGCGAAUGUGACACUGAUUUAUUAGUGUUCGGCAUGUGUAUCUGACACAUCCUCCCAAGAAGCCUAUGGCUGCCCUUACUUGGAUUUAAACCUCACAACACAAUGGAUUUUCACCAAGCUGUAAAAGGCAAGACUCAACAAACACACCCGCCCCCGCUUGCACCAUUCUUGAAUUCUUGAAAGCAGCAAAAGGAGAAACAGAAGGUAUAUUUUGGAUGUGCCAAAAAGGGGGAUGGAAAUCAAAGCAACAUUUAAAAAUGGUAUUUCUCUCGGGUAUUUUUUUAAAUUUGAUUUCCUCCACCCCCAAUGAAAUUUGGCCUGCUGCUCAUAGCACCUGCUGGAUUCCGCAUGCUAAAUUUCAUGCAGUUGGGACAAAUCUUUUUGAUCUAAUAAUGAAUAGAGUUUUCAACUGCCAUAAAGUAAGGGCACUGAUGGAAACAGCCACUUUGACCUUGCAGACCCCCCCCCCCCCAUAGAAGCAGAAUAGCACAGAUCUGCACAUUGCAGAGGGAAAUUAGUGGGGGAAUGGGGAGAUAUUUAACCCUUCUCCCACUUACCAACUACCACGUACAUUCACUUCCCAUUAACAUUUUACCCCACCCCCCACCACGUUAGGGAAAGCAUGAUGGGUGACGGGGACAUUAAACUCACUCUCCCCGGAAACAUCAUCUGGGAAACGCAUGUUCGGCAAACAUGCUUAAUCAUGUAAUGCGUAGUUCUACCAAUAGAGAAUGGAGCUAGUGAAAUACCCCUGAGCAUUCAGAAAUGCAUCUGGAUAAUGCAUAGAAUCUGAUAGUUCAUGCCAAUAUCAAUCAAUUAGUAUUCAAAAAUCGCACAACACUUUUUCUCCACAAACCACAAUGUGUAUGAAGGGCUGUUUGUUCAGGUUUCUUUACCCCAAUGAAUGAACUUUGGGCACUAUUCUUUCCCCCCCCCCCAAUUUUUUAAAUUAAUUAUCCAAUAAUUUUUUAAACAAAUACACAAACAAACAUAAAUCUCAGACUAUUUAAACCAAUCUUAAUAACAUUGUUAAGUGACUUCCCUGUAUCCCCCUGGUUGAAUUUCAAUGUAUACCAUUUUAACAGUUUUCCAAAACCAAUGUUCUUAUAAAAUUAACUUAAUCACUUAACAUCUUUCUUUCUUCCAAAUUUGGCAUUAAACAUAUUAAUUAAUCACAUAUUUAAAUCCUAAGCCUAUCUGAUAUUUGCAAGCUUUCCAAUUAAGUUAACUUAACAUAUUUAACUAAAUAGUCUUUAAAUUUUGACCAUUCCUUCUGGUAAUCCUCCUCCUUCUGGUCACGGACUCUUCCCGUCAGGUCGGCUAGCUCCGAAAAAUCCAUCAUCUUCAUCUGCCAUUCCUCCACUGUUGGUAUUUCUUGUGUUUUCCAAUUUUUUGCUAACAAAAUUCUUGCUGCAGUUGUGGCAUACAAAAAUAUAUUAACAUCUUUUUUGGCCAUUUCCAGACCUGCUAUUCCAAGAAGAAAGGCCUCUGGUUUCUUAAUAAAUGUAUAUUUCAACAUUUUUUUCAAUUCAUUAUAAAUCUUCUCCCAUAAGUCUUUCACCUUGGGGCAGUUCCACCACAUAUGAUAGAAGGUACCCUCUUUUUCUUUACAUUUCCAACACAAAUUAUCACAAUUGUGGUACAUCUUUUCUAGUUUUACAGGAGUUAAAUACCAUCUAUACAUCACUUUCAUUAUAUUUUCCUUUAACACCGUACAUGCAGUAAACUUAACCCCUUUCUUCCACAGUCUUUCCCAGUCUUCAAACAUUAUAUUAUGUCCCACAUCUCUUGCCCAAUCUAUCAUCACUGAUUUAACUUGUUCAUCCUUUGUAUGCCACUCCAAUAAUAAAUUGUACAUUUUAGACAAGUUUUUAACUUUAGAAUCCAACAAUUCCGUUUCCAACUUAGAUUUUUCUGAAGCAAAACCAUUUUUCUUAUCUAAUUUGUACAGUUCAUUAAUCUGGUGAUAAUGUAACCAAUUUAUCUUAUCUUUAAUUUGAUCAAAUGGUUUUAAUUUAAAACCUUCUUUAUCCUCCAAUAAUAAAUCUGAGUAUCUCAACCACUUGAUAUCCAUAUUUAGCUUUUUCUGGGCCUUCGCCUCCAUUGGCGAGAGCCAUCUGGGUGUCUCCCUUUCUAAGAGAUCUUUAUAUUUUAUCUACACAUUGUACAGAGAUUUCCUAAUUACAUGGUUUUUAAAAGCCUUAUGGGCCUUUACUUUAUCAUACCAUAAAUAUGCAUGCCAUCCAAACACAUUAUCGAAUCCCUCCAAAUCUAACUUUGGGCACUAUUCUUGAAGCACAUGCCCCUAUUUCCUUGAUCAAAUCAACCAAAGCCUGAUCAGACAGUUGCAUUCUAGUUUCCAGCUACUACUGAACUCACUUUCCUGCACAAAACCAUCUUAAGCUGAUUAGAGAAUGCCACAUAAAUCAAUAUUUUUUCUUGAACUUUUUUGCAGUUCCAUUUUCUGUCUGCUCUUUUGCCACCGACCCCAAUCUAUUCCCACAGAUAAGUCACACACAGUCACAGAUCUUAAGACGCAGGCGUGCAUCACUUAAGAACACACAUACCAGUUUUUAACAUUCCAGCAAAUGCCUUUCUUUUUUUACCCCUGUGGCUGACACUCCAUUAAUAAUGUUGUACUUGAUAAACCAUGUAUCUUUUUGAAAUGUUGAAGGAUGCUUGCUAAGAACCUGUUUGUUCACACAGGCAUUGAAAACAAGCUUUGUAGUAAUCAUCCGGCUUACUGUGGAUGCCGAUAUAUUUAUUGUAAUGUAUUGAUUUUAUUCAGAAUGUAUUUAUAUCACUGUGAACCAAUAGGGAACUUGAAAUAAAAAGGUGGCACAGAAAUGUUUUAAUUAAACAAAUAAUAAGGGAACUUGAGAUGACUUACAGCCUAGUAUUAAAGUCCAUCUAUUUCAUUCCCUGUCAGAAGUCAGAAGAAAAAUAGUCUAAUCAACGGAAGCUUUAUUAAAUCUAAUACUUCGUCUGAUAAAACAUUGCAACAUGAUGUUGUUGUUGUUGUUGUUUGCCUAUCACACCAGUAGCAUAAACACUGGUGCAGCCAUUUCUUACUGCUUUUUCAAAUAUGAUUCUUAAGAUGCACUGCUAUUAGAAAAUAAAUCAGAAUGCACCUUCACUCACUGAGGAUACAGUCUUAAAGCAGAAAUUCUGAACCGUAUAUUAACUGACCUGAAGAUUGCCACUGGUGGAUUUUAACAAGUGGAGCAGCUGCAAAAGUAAGCCCAAGCAAACUAGAUUCUGUUGCUCCAUUUUUCUUAUUCUCAUAGGAAGUCCCAUGGCUCUGAGUCAUAUCCUAACUCUAAAAGGACUGGGUGUUAUCAGUCAUCAACCUUGACAUUUUGCCAAGUAAUCUGCCUGCCUGCUGAACUCUAGCAAGAACCAGGGCACUGUUCCUUUAAGACUGCAAGCCUAUUUACUUGGAAGUAAGUCCCAUUAAAAACACUGGAAUUUGCUUCGCAGGAAACAAGGUUAGGGAUGAGCCAUAUGUAUGGCUCAGGUUACAGUACAAUGCUUACUUGGAAGUAUGUUGUGCUUAAAUCAAUGGGGCUUUCUCUUGAGUAAGCUGAUUGGGUUGGAAUGACAAUUUGUGGGCAGAAUAAUCAGCACGACUGCAUUCAGAUCAGCGGGUCUACUUCUUUAAGAAAACAUGUCGUAUGGUUAGCAACACUCCCUUUUGAAAGAAAUUCUGAUUUUUCUGGAUUCAGUAGAGAUCAUGGGAUUUCCAUAAUGAGUUUUGCUUGGGCAAACAUCUGUACUUUGGGUGCUUGUACUCUGAAUUCUCUCUCUCUCUCUUUCUCCAUUCUUUCAGUAACCAGCUAUCUCUGGAUAUGAACUUUAUAGGAAGGGCAGGGAAAUGGGAGACGCUACCAGUUCUGAAGCAGUUGCACUGGCUGCCUAUAUGUGACUGAGCCAAGUUCAAAGUGCUCAUUAUUGACACAAAGUCUUAUAUGGCUUACAAUUCUAAACACACAGAGUGUCUUCUCCUACUGGCACUUGCCUGGACAUUAAGAUCUCUUGCCGCAUCUGCCAGGAAUUUAUUAUGUGGCAACCCGAAAGAAGGCAUGCUCAGUACAUACAAGCACUCUAACUAUCAAACUCACUGCACCCCAAAAUAUGACAUCAACUACUUAUUUACCUAGGCCUUUGGCUGACUUUGUCUCUGCUGUACUUGGACUAGUUAUUACUGUCUUUGUCUCUGCUGUACUUGGACUAGUUAUUACUGUUUGUAUUAUUUAUUUUAUGGCAUGGGGUGUUGCUUAUUGAUCUUUGAAUGAAGGAGCUUGUAUAUGCCUCAAAUGGUCUUAAUAUUUUAUUGAUUUGCUUUGGAAGGCAUUUAUUGUCUGAGAAGUGGUCUUAAGUUUACCAAAUAAACAAACAAGGGCAUACUGGAGGUACCGUUGCUCUGUACAUCAAUGAGGACACAGAGUCAAACAUGAUAGAAAUCUCAAACAUGACACGCUUCUCCAGAGAGUUACUGUAAGUGGCAAUACCAGGCCAUAAAAGCUAUUCAUUAAUUGGAGUGUCAUUCUUCUUCUUUGGCGAUCACUCGUAGCUGAGUAAGAUUGUCUUCCAUAAACACGGUUUUAACAAUGAGUCCGUAAGUGAGUGUGGAGGCCAAUUCUGGAUCCACAUGUCCUUCCACAGUGGGGACAUAGGUUACCGGGCAGAAGUUGAUCACAGUGAGGGUUUGCCAAGCUUGCCUUCCUCUUAGCAUGUUUCUCCCUUGUGUCAGAAUAGAGUAGUUGCUUUGGAAGAUGAUCAUCAGGCAUCCGCACAACAUGACCAGUCCAAUGAAGUUGAUGUUGAAGCAUCAUUGCUUCAACACUGGUGAUCUUUACUUCUUCCAGUACACUAUAAUACUAUAAACACACAAGACGUAACUGGCUGUACUUUUGAAUAAAUAAGAUAUACUAUUCAUUGUAUCAAUUUGUAGAUUCCAACAGAAGUCUCAUAAAGUUCAACAAAAAAAGCAGAAGACCCAGUGGAUCACUGGCAUUAGUUUGCCUGUCUUCCCAAGUGAUGUGUAAAAAUUUUUGGAGACACCGUUGAUAGAAUCUUUCAAGGAGUUGGAGAUGGCUAUUGUCCCCAGCCCCUGAAUAAAAAGCCCAGGAUGAUUCUGAAAUGAAGAAUGAAAUGAAGGAAGCACCCAAAGGACAAUGUGCUGCAAUCACAAGAUAUUUCGAUUAACCCCAUAUUGACUGGGCAAAUGGCAAGUACCAGGCACAUCCUAAAUGUCUGUGUCUUAGAACAGUUGGGCUUGGAGCCAAUGACAGGGGAGGUGACCUUGAACUGAAUCUUAAGUGGCACCCAGGACUUGGUGCAACAUCUAAAUACCAUUGAAAGAAAUGGAAACAGGGAUCAUGGUACUACCACUUCCGCUACAUCCCUUUCUUGCCUCUGAACCAUGUUUGCUGUUUUGCUUCAGGCGUAGCCAGGGCUCCUCAGCACAGAGGUAAGAAGAGUUUGGACUUGAUAUCCCGCUUUAUCACUACCCUAAGGAGUCUCAAAGCGGCUUACAUUCUCCUUUCCCUUCCUUCCCCACAACAAACACUCUGUGAGGUGAGUGGGGCUGAGAGACUUCAGAGAAGUGUGACUGGCCCAAGGUCACCCAGCAGCUGCAUGUGGAGGAUCAGGGAAGUGAACUCAGUUCACCAGAUUACGAGACUACCGCUCUUAACCACUACACCACACUGACUCUCGAAAGGUAGAUGAGGCUGAGGAAAAAAUGAGGGGCCUGUGACCACUCAGUUAUCUUCCUGCCUCAGCAACGAUUUGAACUUAGAACUCUCAUGCCCUUCUCUGACUUUGCUCACGGCACUUUCUUGGGUCUGAAAUUUAAGUUCAAGUCAUGAUCAGCCUGCUUCUGGAGCUCUAAUUUUCCAAUCCAUUGUCUUAACCAUUCAGCCAUGAAUUCCGCACAAACAUGUUUAUUCAUUCCUGUAUUUUAAAAUCUAUUUCCCCACUAAACAUGUCUCCAUCUAGCCCUCGGGGCAGCUAACAUAAUAAAGCAACAGUAAAAGCAGUCUUAAAAACAAUAUCAGUUUACAAUACCAAUAAACAUCAUAUCAUAUAAACUACAAAUUGGCUGUGACAGAGCAAGGUAUUUUCUUAAAUAAAAAUUUUAAAAAAACCCACUGUCCGGCAAAUUCCAGGAAACACAUGCCAACUCAUUUAUCAACAAGGCCUCAUCCUCCAGUCUACCUCUGUAAAAGACCUGCUGAAUAUACGAAGCUCUGCACCAACUUUCUUUAAACAAAAAAAACAACAAGGAAGUCACCACCUCAAUCUGAUCUAGAAGAGUCACAUUUGGAGGGAAAUUCUACAGUACAGGUGCUAGAUAGGCAAGGUGUUGCUCCAUUUCAUCAGUGCAGCUUCUGAAAAGAACAGAACAAGUACUUCCAAAGGAAGUAGGCCAUGCCCAGUCAGAAUCCAACAUCAAGCAAAGAGCCCACAGGACCUUAGGCAGCCCCAAGGGCACCCUGCUAAAACAAGUUCAAAAGAAGCUGUUCCUGCAGAGAGCUACUGCCAAUUUAUUCAACCUGGUCAGGCCCGGCAUGUGGUAGGCUCUGCUUCCUUGCAAGACUGGGCAGGUAGAGGAUGAGUUCCCUGGAGGACCUCUGAGUCAGAUGGUGGUGGCAGGAGGUGUGCCCUCUGGCCAGGAGGGCAUGGGUGGGAAGGUGAAAAUGGGGGUGCAAAGCAGGGCUGGAGAAUAGAAGAGAGACGUGGCUUCAGAAAUGGGGGUGGGAAGGUGAAAAGCAAGCUCAGGAGGAAAGCAAGCUCUACGGGGCUAAUGUGAGCAAACAGCAGGGGGUUGGUGAGUGGGAGUGCAACCCCUAGUUAAAUAAUAUUUAGUAUUUUGGGACACUUUUUCCUAACUUCUUAAAAUUCCUCAUAAGUUACAACAACCAUGUAAAGUAGGCAGUGGGAGGUUGCAGCUGAGGAACACUGCAUUUGCCUAAAGCCAGUCAGUGAGAGAGGCUGAGGAGAGAUUUGAAUCUGACUAACAAGAAGAGACUCAAUUUCAUCAUUCCUGAGCAUCUUCUUUCACCCUUCCUUAUCAUGCUAAUCAGGGAAUAGUGACUAUUAUUCAGUCUUAUCUGGAUUCACUUUUGUUAUAAGAAUUCUAAGGUCUCAAAUAUAGAAUAAAUAUUAAUAAAUGCUAACAUAUCUAAAUAUAUAAACCAUGUGGCUGAAAUAGUGUUGUUGUUUAGUCGUUUAGUCGUGUCCGACUCUUCGUGACCCCAUGGACCACAGCACGCCAGGCACUCCUGUCUUCCACUGCCUCCCGCAGUUUGUUCAGACUCACGUUUGUAGCUUCGAGAACACUGUCCAACUAUCUCGUCCUCUGUCGUCCCCUUCUCCUUGUGCCCUCCAUCUUUCCCAACAUCAGGGUCUUUUCCAGGGAAUCUUCUCUUCUCAUGAGGUGGCCAAAGUAUUGGAAUCUGUCCUUCCAGGGAGCACUCAGGGCUGAUUUCCUUAAGAAUGGAGAGGUUUGAUCUUCUUGCAGUCCAUGGGACUCUCAAGAGUCUCCUCCAGCACCAUAAUUCAAAAGCAUCAAUUCUUUGGCGAUCAGCCUUCUUUAUGGUCCAGCUCUCACUUCCAUACAUCACUACAGGGAAAACCAUGGCUUUAACUAUACGGACCUUUGUUGGCAAGGUGAUGUCUCUCCUUUUUAAGAUGCUGUCUAUGUUUGCCAUCGCCUUUCUCCCAAGGAGCAGGCGUCUUUUAAUUUUGUGACUGCUGUCACCAUCUACAGUGAUCAUGGAGCCCAAGAAAGUAAAAUCUCUCACUGCCUCCAUUUCUUCCCCUUCUAUUUGCCAGGAGGUGAUGGGCCCAGUGGCCAUGAUCUUCGUUUUUUUGAUGUUGAGCUUCAUACCAUAUUUUGCGCUCUCCUCUUUCACCCUCAUUAAAAGGUUCUUUAAUUCCUCCUCACUUUCUGCCAUCAAGGUUGUGUCACCUGCGUAUCUGAGGUUGUUGAUAUUUCUUCCGGCGAUCUUAAUUCUGGCUUGGGAUUCAUCCAGCCCAGCCUCUCGCAUGAUGAAUUCUGCAUAUAAGUUAAAUAAGCAGGGAGACAAUAUACAGCCUUGCUGUACUCCUUUCCCAAUUUUGAACCAAUCAGUUGUUCCAUAUCCAGUUCUAACUUUAGCUUCUUGUCCCACAUAGAGAUUUCUCAGGAGACAGAUGAGGUGAUCAGGCACUCCCAUUUCUUUAAGAACUUGCCAUAGUUUGCUGUGGUCGACACAGUCAAAGGCUUUUGCAUAGUCAAUGAAGCAGAAGUAGAUGUCUUUCUGGAACUCUCUAGCUUUCUCCAUAAUCCAGCGCAUGUUUGCAACAUGGUCUCUGGUUCCUCUGCCCCUUCGAAAUCCAGCUUGGACUUCUGGGAGUUCUCGGUCCACAUACUGCUUAAACCUGCCUUGUAGAAUUUUAAGCAUAACCUUGCUAGCGUGUGAAAUGAGUGCAAUUGUGCGGUAGUUGGAGCAUUCUUUGGCACUGCCCUUCUUUGGGAUUGGGAUGUAGACUGAUAUUCUCCAAUCCUCUGGCUGAAAUAGUAGAGGAGAGCAAUCCUGAAGCCAUUUUGACGCUCCCAAUGACCUCAAAUAUUCCUCUGCAGUAAGGGAGGCAAAUGGGGAAAGCCUUCCCCAUUGUCUUUUCACUUACAAAUUCUGUCUUAAGGGCAUAUUUGUGUAUGAAUAGGGUGAGCCUGUGACCUGCAUUCAGGAAUCAGUCAGUAACCAUUAUUAGAUAUCCUGGCAGACAGGAUUUCUGCUGUAGAUCGCCUCCUGUGAUGUAUGUAUGAUGAUUUUGGGGUGGUCUUUGGCUAAGGGGGUUGGGCAAUGUCAAAAGUCUUAAAGGUUCCUGCACACUUUUGGUCAGUGUCUCUCCCUCCUUGGAAGGAGGAGAGGCAACUCUGUUGAACAGAAAAAUAAAUAUCUGCCAUGCUUUCCUCUGGAUUCUGCCUCCACCCAUUCUUCUAUGACUGAUCAUGGACUUGGGGGGCUCAGAGUCCCAUGGGGAGUUGACCAGCAAAAGCCAAACUCUAAUUUUUACAUCACUUUCAAUCUGCUUUCCUCUACAUAAUGCUAUCAUGGCCAGAUGAUGAUGAUGAAAGUCAAGAUGGAUGUCAGGACAAACAGCUGGCGGCCAGUAAAAAUGAUAGGUGUACAUCUAGCUCCUCUCUUCCCCUCUGUAACAUCUACCAGAACCUAUUUUGUGUUUUGACAUCAUGAUAAUUUCCCCAUGACAUGGAGCGUGAGCAGAGCAACUUUGAGACAUCACAACCACGAAAGGUGAGUUCUCCUAGAUGUAACAGAGAGGAGUCCUUUUCAGUUGAAGCCAUGCAUAUUUAGUCUGGCCAUGAGGCAGUGAAUUUGAAUGAGGCAGCUCUUUUGAAUUCUGUGCAAAAACCCAAGAGGCCUCUGUCAAUACAAGCAUUUCCAUUGCCAUGGUUUUAUGAAGUGGUUGUAAGGAUCUUUCAGCAGACAGAGCAAUAAACAUCCAAGCGUUUCUGAAGUGGCUGUGUGCCAAGAUCAAGCGUAUCUUGUGCUCCAUUAUUCACUGUUGCUGCAAGUGGCAAAAAGAAAACACAUGACCUAUCUUCUGAAAGGUGCCUGCCUGCCUGCCCUUUCAGAUUUGAUCGUGGUGAAAGCAAAAGCAAAACACUGAUGCCUCAUACCUGAACUUGCCACUUAAUUAACAGCAACUGACAACCAUUUGUUCUAAUAAACAGUGCUAAUGGCUGGCCGAAUGUUGCAGCUGUUUUGACUAUCAGUGUAGGGGGGGAAGUAAGCCCAGAGCAUGAAACAAUACAUUAAGCUGGAAGUAAACAGCUUGUUUUCUUGGAAUCUUAGAGUCACUCAAAAUAUUGUGUUUUGUGAAGUGAAUAUGCUCCACUACAGUAGAGCAUUUUCCAGGUGCUCAGGAAGGGCAGUGACUAAAAAGCUCUGAAAAAAUGACUUCGUAAUAUCCUGUCCCAGAUCCAAAAGUGCUCGCCUCAGUUGGUCACUUGAGACAUGGCUGUGUUAAAAAACAAAACAAAACCUCCCUAAACUGACAGGUUCCAUAUCACAUCUAAACUGGGUCACAGGUGGUUGCAAAAGUAGGGUUAUCACAACAGAGAUCCAUGGUUGGGAAUAUGCCUGAGUGGUUGCAUAUGCUGGAAAGUAUUAUUUUAUAUCAUCAUCGUCAUCAUCAUCACUCACCCUUAACCUGCAGGUCCCAGGGUGGGUUAUAGCAGUUCAAAAUUCAUAAUUCAUAAUUAAAAUCAGUUAAAAUGGAUUUCAGUCACUAGGUGCAGUUACCCAGUUGCAAGAAACCGUCCCUGAAGGGUAAGGGCCUGUUGUCGUUUACACAGCCAGCUUCACAUUUAAACUGAGUCUGCAUUCGCACUGUGCAGUACUUUUGAAGCACAUUCUUUUACGUUACAACAAGAGUUUUCUUUCUGGGAACACAAACACAUGUUUUAUAACUGUGCUGAUGUUCUGAAUCUACAGCGUAUUUUCUGAUGAACUGCUUGAAUGGAAGGGUGGGUGGGAAAACAGAAACGAGCAAAAUCCUGCAUCAUAUUAUUUUUUUAGAGUACUAAUGACUGGGUAGGUGGAGCAGGAGGAAGGAAAGUACUGCUUUUUGAACAGGCUUGCUACUUCCUUCUCACAUUAUUUAUUUAUUUGUUAUUUAUCAAAAACAUCUCUAUCCUGCCUCUCAGCUCCUCGCUGGAGCCAAGAAGACGGCUAACAAAUUCCAUUAGAAACAUAAACUUAAAACAGCAAUAAAACAAACAAACCAGCAAGACACAGAAAAAUGAGCAGCAAAAAUCUUGUACGGUACUUUAAAAAAUGACAACAUCAGGCCACCAAGAAGCAACAAGUUGUUGGAAAGUGAUCCUAAAUAAUCAUUUAAAAGUUUGUAACUGGAGCCUGGGCAAGGGCUUGUAAAACUUCCUUGGGCAAAAUGUCCCAUGACCCUGGUGCUACCACAGAAAAGAUCCUUUUCCUUGUGCCCUCCAACAUGCAGAUGGGGCCUACAUCAGGGACUGCCUUCAACACUGGUGUGUACUGUGUCGAGGUCGUCCUUCGGGUAUCUAGGUCCCAAACUUUCAAAACUUUAAGGCUAAAACCAGCACUUAGAAACAAACUGGAAGCCAGUGGAGCUGAUAAAACAAAGUUAUUAAAUGCACAAACAGACAAGCUCCAGUUAGUAACCUAGUGGUCACAUUAGAUAUCAACUGAAGUCUUGGGACACUUUUCAAAGGUAGCCCCACAAACAGUGCAUCCUGGAGGUGACCAAAGUAUGCAUAAUAACCCAUGACCAGCAAACACCAGAGUUGGUGCAUCUGCCAAAGCUAUGCAAAGCACUCCUGGACAUAACAGACAUAGUCUAAGAGCAUUCCUAAAACAGUGGAGCUGUUUCCUAAGGGAGAUGUUGCAGAAAUAUGGCUGCACAAUUUCAGGUAUUCGAUGCGAUUAAAAAAAAUAAAUCCUGUGCCACGGUCUUCACCAACAUGGUGGGCUCUGUAUGUUUUGAAUAACAACUCCCAUCCAGCUCUGAUAAGAGUUGUAUGAGGACAUCAGGCCAGUGAAGUCUGCUAUAACAACCCAUAUGCACCAGGCUUCUCUUCACCACCAUGGAAAACUUCCCUUGGCCUUUUCAGUUUGAACUCAUUGUUCUAAUGUUGACUAAUGUUUCUGUCAUGCUAGACAUUCUGCAAAGAUGAGAAUGAGUGUUCGAGGUUAUCUUAUGAAAACACACACAUUUAGGUGGCCGGCUGUGCAGGCAAACGAGGAGCCCUGGAGUCUCUUUCCCACACCUCAGUGAUCCUUCCUUCUCAAGAAAAGCCUUCUUGAGAAAGACCAAAACCUGCUACAGCCCAAAUCCCACUGAUGAAAUAUUAGUUAGUGGCCUCAGGUCAGGUCCCAGCAGAGAAGUGUCAACAUCACCACAGACCUUGGCAGCUGGCAUAAAUUAGAACUGUUGCAGAUGGAGCCAUGAACUGAAAAAGGUGUCAAUAUUUCCAAAGUCCUGGAUCUGACCCAUGGUGUCCCCAAGAUCUUAUCUCUCAUCCUGUUCUCUUUGCAUUCUGUCACCAAGAACAUGCUUGCAUCAGGGCCAGCUUCAUUCCGCUGAGAUUCUAGUGCUUCCUUCCUUCAGGGGUGCCUCUAGGUGGUUUUGCUUUACCGUUUUAGCUGUGUUCCCUUUCCAAACUUUCCAACUUCAGUCAACUCUCAUCAGAUUCCUUCUGUUUUGUCACAGUCAUUGCCUACCACGUUGCUCUGUUGGGCUCAUUCAUGUCACUGUUGAUUAAACCAGGAGUCUUCGAUGUUUUGAGGCCUCAGCCACCUUCUGCUGUAACCUACAACUGUGUGCUGUCUACCCUUUCCCUCUUCCUACCUCUCUCUGUCAGAUCCAUCCAGACUGUGCCAAGUCAGGGGGCAACUGAAGCAUGACAAAACUGGCUGCGAUGGCUCUGGUGAGGUAGAGGUGAUGCAAAUCUAUAACAGGAGGAGGAGGGAAUGUAGCAGCAGUUGAAGUGGCCUCAGGAAGCCUCAUUUGGAAGCUUUUAUGUCUCACAAUCUGCCCCAACCUAGUGCUGUUCAAGAGGCUUCUCUGAUGGCCUUGCUACUUAGAGUGUAAUUCUAUUUUUCUCCUUUGGCCACAGCAAGUGAUGGAGCAAAUUUGAAUGCCUCAGAGUUCUGGGACGCUUCCUGUCUUUCCCCAUGAUGCUCAAGAACUUGAGAAGAGGAAGUAAGGAAAAAAGUCGAGAGAGAGCUAAGAAGUUAACUCCUUGAAAGCAGUAAAGAAUAUUGGCAAAUAAUAAUAUGUUUCUCUUUGUCUGCUCUCUUUGUCUUAAAAACCUGUAAAGUCUUUACAGUGAUAUCAACCUGUUGAUCUUGGAUCAAUGGGAAGGAAUGUGCAACUGAAUAAAAUACCUCAGUGAUUCGG
rnacentral:lncRNA from 1 species